AAUCAACGCUGGCGGCGUGCCUGACACAUGCAAGUCGAACGAGAAAGUGGAGCAAUCCAUGAGUAAAGUGGCGACCGGGUGAGUAACACGUGACUAACCUACCUCCGAGUGGGGAAUAACUCCGGGAAACCGGGGCUAAUACCGCAUAACAUCGCAAGAUCAAAGCAGCAAUGCGCUUGGAGAGGGGGUCGCGGCUGAUC
rnacentral:rRNA from 1 species